ensembl:lncRNA
GCCAAAGCAAGAGUAAAAUAUAUAAAGCGUAAAGCUAUAAAAGUGUAUUACUUAAAAUUUGUUUAGAUUAGUAUUUUCAAAUAUUAUUUUUCUAAUCUGAGGCCUGCCUUCCUGGCUUUACGGCUUGUGUGUCACAUUCUACUGUUGCACCCUGUGUUAUGGACACCUGGGCCUGGUCUCACCCCGCCUCUGCUCAGCCCCUGAGUGGAGCUAGCAACAUCAGAAGUUCACUCACACUGGGAUCCUUGUGUAGUCAAUGCAGAGAGAUGAAAAGUGUGCUUGGAAUCUCUUGCCUGUCCAUAAAGCCUCUGAGCAAGAGCCUGAAGAAGUGACUUCCACUUUCCUCGACCAUAACACUGAUGUGAGAGAGUUUGUGAGACAUACAUCGUCCAAAUUUCUGUUUUCAAUAGGGCUGUGUAUUCUCGUGAGAUGGACUGAGGAAGUCUUGUGAUGGCCUUGGGACAAACAGAAGAUGUGUGAGAAAUGUCUUCUAAUAGACCAAAGUUUCCUGCCUGGAAAGUCAAGGGAGUCAAGACUGCCAAGGAGUGGAGCAUCAGAAAAUAUAUACAGCCCAUGGAUCUCAUGUGGAGGAAGAACACUGUAAGACUGCUGUGACUGAUUUCUAGGGAUAACCACCCAGGAAACUGAUGCCGAGCUUACAGUGCAACUGCAAGUUGGUUGAGACAAGUCAGUGAAGAUAGUAAAGACAUGAAAGAUACAAAAAAGACACACAGAAAUCACACAGACUGAUGUGAUAGGGAGGGCUAGUGAGACAGAAAGUGAGAAGAAAACAGAAGAAAAAGUAAGACCUUCUGUUUCAUAUGCUUUAAGACUGCAAGGAAACAAUAUGAAAAAGUGAUUCUCUGACAAAUGAAAGCAACUCAAUAAGAAUGAAAGGUAAUGUGACAGUCUCUUUGGAUUGUUUUCACAAAACAUUUUGUCCAUUUAACAACAUACAUUAGUGCUGAUAGGAUGACUUGCUGCACAAAGUGGAGAAAGGUUGGGAAGAUUCAAAUGAAUUAAGCAGGGAAAGCUAGAGUAGUAGAGAGAGGAAAAAUCUAAAUAAAUCAGACUGAUUAAUUUCCAAAGCACGCAGGAUGUCUAUCACUAACUGCUAGGAUGUUCCAGCUCUUAAGACUUUAUUGAUACCUAUAAUUAGGGAGUUAAUUCAGUUGCUGCAGUUACUACCUGUCUUUUCUGUUUUCCUUUCUCUGCCAUGAUCUACACUAUAAUUGAACAAAUGUAUUGCAAUCUCACAUAUGGCAUUGUAUGCACCUGAAAUGGAACAGUGCAUCUCUCCCUAAAUACACCUAUUAACACCUGGUCUUUGAGAUUCAUUUCCAUCAUUUCAUGGGUCUUCCAUAACUCUAUAACAAACUACUUCUGAGGCAAUUCAUUAAAAAUCCUGGGCAUACUGGUACUCUGUAAAUGACUGCUGACGUGUGGCAGCAGCGUAACUGCAGUACCUUGUUCUCACCGAGGAUCUCAUCUGACUAACACAAUUUGUCAAACAACUCUCAUCAGAGAUACGUGUACAGAACUCAGGUCAUUUUGAGGCAUUCUGUAGCGGAGGCUCCUCUUCUGAGCCCUGUUUCUGACAACUGAGGUAAAGCUGAAAGGAAUUUUCUUUCUGGUUGUUCCAUCACCAGGCAGAUAGCUGAAGGGAACAGCUCUUGAUGCAGUUCCACCUCUGGCAGCUCAGGCCCUCUUAUAUCCCAGUGCUGGCUCUCUCCUCUGUUGGUCAAAAGAGCAGAUCCAUUUCUUCCUUUUCCACUUCUUACGGUACCUGGAGCAUAUCAUUCCUACAGUCGCAUAAUCUUACUAUAUGCACAAAGGAAUCUAGUGGUUUUCCUAAUAUCAGCAUCUAUCUUUCAGUUAUUAUAGUUUCUCCAGUGAACUGUGGUUGAGGAGUGCAACUGGCUGACAGGUCGAGGUUUUCCCACAGGGAUCUUUAAAUUAGGUAAAGUUAGAAGAUGAAGUUAGGUGAACAGUUUUUCUUUUCUGCAUGUUUUCCAUUUAGUCUUGGCUAAAAGUGCAUCCCAGAAUGUGUUCGUGUCUUUGCUGUAAGUUGCAUUCCUUUUGUUUGGGCUGCUGACUCACCCUCCUAAACUAAGUCAAGAUGUGGGAAUGGUUAGUGAAGGCUGCCCAUUAGGCUAUUAGUAAAAAGACAAGGGAUUGAGUUUUAUAGCAAGUGACAAAGGAGUUGAGCCCAGAUUGACAGUUUUAUUUCUUGUCAUUGAAGAGAAGUUUCUGACUGUUGCACAUUCCUUUUGUAAGCUUAUUCAUCACGGGCUGACUCUCUGUUGCUCUGAAGUAGAACUGAAUUGGGCAAGCACACAGAAAGACUGAAGGUUUCCUUCCACACAAAUCAAAUAAUAACUUGGGAGUGAAGUGGAAGGAGAAAAGCUGUUGCUGUGAUUCCCAUGUGGUGUCCUUUCUAGGAAGAAUAUGUGAUUCCACUGUCCAUAUUGCCUCCUUCUGAUCAACAGUCAAACAAUAUAUAGAGAAGGGGAGGUGGCUGCAUGCUUCAGACUUUCUGCAUGUGAUUUUAUUUUCCAUUUAAAAGUUACUGAAAUACAGCACACAAAGAACAAAGUUCUUUUAAGAGUGGCAGAAGACAGAUGGUGCCAUUUUUCAGCUGGGGAAGUUUCUGUGAAACAAGGCUCAUUCCUCAGAAUGUUCUUCACAACAGGGUGAAGAUUUUUGUAUUUCAUACAUAAUCCAUCUGCAGUGGUUUGUUUUUCUCCUCCGCAAAGAGAUCAUAGGCUCAUAUUAAUCUUUUCCUGGGUAGAAUAAGCAAAUAAAUUCAUUCCUUCCCUAGCUAAAACACAGAAGUCUUUAUCCCUCAUACUGAAAAGCAGAUAAAUUUGUAAUUUUCCAUGCACACAUCCUCUAUUAUUUGGAAGCAUUUAGGUGCACACCAAUGGCUUAAACAAAUGAAACAAUUAUUUAAACGUGUUUCCUAGGAAUUCUAGGUUGUUUUUUUGAUUUGGGUACAGGAGAUAUAGGGGGCAGAGAGUUACGUCAUUGAAUUUACAGACUGUACAUUGGUCUUCCAAAUUGACAUGAUAUUGUUGAAUCUAAGCAUAUAAUACAGCCAAAAGAUACUUCUUUACCUUGCAGAGCAUAAAUUACAACUAGGUGAUCUUCUUGUGUUUAAGUAGUGCUUUGCACAUGCAGAAUUCAGGCCAAUAAGUUAUACUGCUUCCAAGUUCAUGUGAGUGUUUAGGUAUCUUGCUGGGUUAUUGCCUUUGGAAAGUCAAAUGCUUCCCGACAGCAAUACUCUUCUGUUACAAUAAAUGCAUGCAAAACUUUGUUUUCCUGAAGAUAGUAUAGCACAGGAAGGGACAACUUUCUUACUUCACAGAGAACAAUUUGAAAGAAGACCUUCUUGGCUUUUCCUCCAUGAAACACUCUCAUUUCUUGUCUCUCUUUCUGAUCCUGGCUAUUUGUAAUGUAUAGACACAGCAUACACUUCUCCAGAAGUGUAUAUCUCCAUCUUGCUACUAUUAUGACACAAAAAAGUUAAUCACAUAUAAUAGCUGGUUAUAUUAGGGGUUUGAGGUUUUUUGCAGGUUGGUGUCAUGCUGAUCUCUAGGUUCCUUACUACCUUUGUAAAACCCUGCUUUUCUGAUAGAGUUUUCUUUGUAAUUAUUUUUUUUAAGAGCACCUUAAUGACAUGUGGUUUUCCUUGAUGCUGAAGCCUGCAGCUAAAAUGUCAUAGCUCUAUUUUGUUCACCUUUUUUUUUCCCAAUUCCAUUAUAAUUUCACAAUUUCAUGAUUUACAUUAUACUCAGUAAGAUAUCUUUAUCUUGGUUUCAUUCAAUCUUCUUAAGACAGGAAUCUGGUAUUUGUAAUUGUGCUUUUCUUCUCCUUUCUGUCUUAUUUUAAUUUGCCGAAAGGCCCCAGAAGAACCAGUUUGUCUCUUGACACCCUGCUUAGAGGCAAGACAGAAAAGAACGCACUUCAAGGCCACAUGGUCACCUUAUCCUCCUAAAUCAGGCCAGACUACAGGCAGAGCUUAGUGGGAAAAAAUCACAGCACUAAGAGCACUUUGCUCACAAACCUAGGUGUUAUAUCUGCAGUAGCAGGGCUGUCACUGCCUUUGAACACGUUGCCCUUUCUCAAAGAGCACGUCUCGAAGGCAGUUCUCAAAAUCUCUACACUAACUCUGCACAAAGCUUGAAGAACGUAAAAUCUCCUCACCUUUACAACCUCUCUUGACUUGGAGAUACGUGGACCAUCAAUCAAUCAUUUCACUGCUAGCUGUAGGUUUUACACUGUUUCCAAUGUCAUUGCAAGAGCUACUGCAAGCACUGCUCUCUGGUCAUUUUAGUUAAUAAAGGUUUCAGAGGCCUUGCUCCAUCUCAUGCUCAGAGGGAUGCAGUUUAUUGUUCUUCAGAGAGAAGUGGGGGUUCCAAAUAUUAUUUUCUUUUACAGAAUCACAUAUUCUAUUCUUUUUUCUUUCUUUUUUCUUUUUUUAAUCUCUUGUAGUGAUCUCCUCAAGCUUGUGGGCUGGAAACCAUUAGGCUGCUUGUUUUUGGGCCUCUCAAACAGAACUAACUCUUCGUCUUCCCUUGAUCUACUGCAAUCCCUUCUUUCUGUUCCUUCAGUCAUCACUGUGGGCUUUGCUCUCUCUGUAGGGUUUUUCUUGAUGGAAGCUGAGGACCUUCAAUCAGAGAAAUGCUGUAGUAGUGCACGUGUAGCUCAUGCACGCAAAUUGAAGUACCCCAGCCCUGCGUGUUGUGUAUGCUUACAUUGCACCUCUUUAGAGGUUCAUGAUAUGUGAAAGAAACAAUAGUCUAAAUAUUUCCAAAGCCUUACCUUAAUUCCUCUCUAUUUAAUUUACUUAUACUCUUUACAUUAUUCCUCACUUUCUUUCAUAAAAGGACGUCCUACCCACAGGAAGGUGUAAGACUGUACACACGUUUUUUUUUUCCUACUUAUAUUUCUGAUUUUGUUUCUUAUUUUCUGAGUUCAGGUGAGAUUCCUCAGCAUGUCUAUCAUCUUUCCUCUGCAAGCAAAUCCCUCUGCCAGACCCUGGGUCUCUCUAUUCCUUUCAGAGCCAUUUCCGUUCAUUGCAUUAGUGGCACAUCCCACUCCUGCAGAGGACCUGCUGUGCUCCAUUCAACCUGAUAUGUUAAGAAGUUCUCUUAAGCAGCCCAAACCCACAGAUAUGUCUAGACAUUUAGUUCUGUGGAAGAUAAAAAACAAACUUAAAAAAUAUCCAAAGAGUCAGGGAAAAAUUGAGCCCAAUAUGUUGAAAUCUGGAAGGAAAGAAGAACAACAUAAUGGCAACCAGAAGUUUUCAACUAUUUCUUUUCAGCUCAGCUCCUCAGCAAUAAACCCAUGAUUUAUUCCCUAUGCCAGUUUUCAGGAUUUGGCCAAGAAGAUGAAAUUUGAAAUGAAUUAAGCUAGCAUAGUUUUAUUUCAGCCACUGAAUCACUUUUAUCUGCCUGCUUAUUUGUAUGGCUCCAUUCAUCACUGUACAUGUAAACCUCUGAAAUAAUUAUGGGUUCAUAAUGACAACACUUCUUCAAGGUGGAGAAUUAUUAUGAACAUAGUGUAACUGGGGAACCAAUGUGCAGAAAAAUUAACUUCUUGCUCAAGGUCAAGUAUGGAGUUUCAGAGACUCAGUCCCUAUUCACUGACUUCACUCCCCCAUUUCUACAGGUUUAUAUAUAUCUGCCUUUUUGCUUUUGAGUGUUUUAUAACUAUUAAAUGACUGAUGAAUAGCAUUUCAUUCAUUUAUUUUAAAAACAUCUCAAAAUAUUUGGUCCUCCUGACAGACAUGCUGAGUUGGGAUGCUUUGGCAUAUGAAUCACAAAUUUCUUGUAUUAAAUGACUGCAGUUUAUAACCCUGCUCUUCCAAGGGACAUAUACUAUUUUUUUCCUGAUGGAACCACCAGGGAAAAAAAAAAAAAGAAGAGUAGGUAUUUAUAUCCAAACUAAGACUGAGAAGUCAGGUGGUUCUGGUAUCUGAACUUCCUAUAUCUUUCUGUUGCUGUAUAAGCCAGUUAUCUUACUGUGCUGCUCUGCAUGUUUCUUUAUACUUCAUCACAUAUCCAAUUGUCAUUAAGUGAUAACAACUGAAUGUGAAAGAUUGCAACUAUAAUAAAAAGUGGAAUGACCUACUUUCUAACACCGUUGUUUCCAAUCCACUGCAGACUGAAACAUUAAAAAAUAGUUAUUAAAAACAAACAAUCAAAAAAGUAGUAUUAACAUGGAGUUUCUGGAUUCUCUAGAAAGGGAGCUCUAAAGGAAACAUAUGGAGACAUGUAAAUAAAAUUUCUUCUUUUGUUCAAAGGUUGGAUCACAAAAUGUCAUGAAAAAAUUUCUACCCUUAAUAUAUUCAUUUUUAGAAAUUGAAAAAGGGACUGAUUGAAAAUAUUUGAAAAAAAAAAAGCAAAUGCUUGAUUCUGUCAGAAAAAUGAAAAAAUGCAAAACAUUAUAUUUAUUACAAAAACUAAAUAAAAUUUAGUAAGAAGCAGAAUAGUAUUUUCUCUAUUCAGCAAUGUUAGCCUUACUUUCCAGAGGUUACAGCAUUCAAUUACAGUGCAGUAUAAAAAACAGACAUACCUUCUCCAAUCAGUUUUAAAUAGCAAUUACAACUAUUUCUGUUAGAAACUGGUUGAAGCUGUUCUGCUUUUUAGAGCCAUGUAGGGUCUGAAAAGGUCUCCAAGUAUUCACAUUCUUCCCUGAUCAUGACUGAGUGUUUGACUACAGUGUCAUUUUGUUUCUUUUUCUGGCUUGGACAACAUCAGCAAAACCAUUUCUAAUUGGGUGACUGGACAACUGACUGAAUCUGGGG